rnacentral:lncRNA from 1 species
GACAGAACCGACAGGGCCACGGUUCCGGUUCGGAACCGUGACACCGUACAUCCUUACUUGAAGAAUCCACCGAAGGUGAAGAAAGAUGGAGUAUUGGAAAAGAGAAAGUGAUUAAUUGUAUCUAAUUUAUUUUAGGGAUUUGAAAGUUUGACUAAGAAAAAAAGGAAAGAAUAAGAUAGUAAAAAAGGACAUGGGGUUAUUUAAUUAAAAGUCAAAAGGAACAUUAGAAAAGAGAAAAGAUAUUAAAAUUUAAUAAAAAAAAAGUAUGUGGGGCGGGUUCGAACUCCAGAUCUGGGAGACAAAAGACACUCAAACACCAAUACGCCAAAGUAGUCAAUUGAGCAUCGAGAGUCACCACCUACCUCUAUAUAUAUAUAUAUAUAUCUAAAAAUUUUGUAUUAUACAUACUUUAGGGAAAGAAGCAUUGGUGCAUACACCUCACCCCUUCCACAUAAAUCCGCCUCUGGUUAUCAAAUCUUGUUCGUGUUUGUGUCUCUUUCAUCACUCAUAAGGCUGUCUUAUGGGAGAAAAUCCACAACUAAAUAAAGAUAGGAUUUCAUUGAGAAACCAAUUAACAGGGAUCUGAACUACAUAAAAGGGAGUAAUUAAAUAAUCGUAAUCAGACAAGCCGGCAGUGUCCUUGGCCGCAUAAGUAACAGUUGCUCAGUUCAUCUCUCUGUUCGUACAUCAUGUUUCUUUGUAAUUUUAAAUUUAAAAAGAUAAAUUUUUUAAAUUUGUUAUGUUUAAAAAAUAAAUUUCUUACGUAUAAAAAUUUUAAAUAUAAAAAAAAAGAAUCAUAAACUAAAAAUAAAUUCGUAAUGAGCCAAAAAAACAAUUGGAGUAAGGGCCAGCCAUAAAUAUGGAGCUGGGGUAAGAAGACCUCAGGAGACUGGAAAAAAGAAAAAAGAAAAUAUAGGCUUAUUUUUUAACAAUUGAUAGCUUGUUUGGCUAAGUUCUUUUUUUUGGGACAAAAGUGUUUUUUUGUCGAAAGUAUUUUCGGUCAAAAAUUAAGGUGUUUGGCCAAGUUUUUGGAAGGGAAAAGAUACUUUUGAGGAAAAGGGAAAGCAACGGAGAAGCAAAAAGAAGUAGCUUCUCUCCAAAAACACUUUUCUGAGAAACACUUUUGAGAAAAAAGCAUUUAGAAGUAAUUUUACGAAUUUUUUUGUUCAUAUAUAAUAUUUAAAAUAUAAUUAUUAAAAUUGUCCUAAUUUUUUAUAGUACUCGCUCUAAACAAUAAUUAUUUACAAAUAAUAUAUAAUCUAUUAUUAAUACCUUAAAUUAGAGGAUUUAGUUAUAUAGUUUUCUUAUUUUCUCUUUGCUAGUAUUUUAAAAUGACUUCUUCCGGUUACAUCCCUUCACGGAGUUUCAUUCUUUCUUUUAACUGUCUGUUGAAUCCUAAUUCAAUGAGAAAAAGGGAUUAAAUGUUGGGUCAAUUUUCUUUUAGUGGUUUCUUAACGUUAAUCUCACUAAUUGGAGUGCUUUUAUACUCUUUUAAAUUUCUACAGUGCUAGCAAGAGUGUAACUCAGAAAAGUAUCACCUCCAAAAGGAAGUUGAAUAUCCUUCCCCCAAAGUCGAAUAAGUUCACGUGAUACCACGCGAGAGAAGUGUAUUAAAAAUGCACAAGUGUAGGCCGUCAUUUUGUAACAGAAUGCUUGUCAAUCAUAUAUAU